GCUGACAGCCGACUUAUCACCUAGUACUAUAGAUGCAAGGAGUCAGUGGUCCAGCAUCAUAAAAAUUCUGCAAGAAGAAGGCUUUCAACCGAAAAUCCUUUAUCCUGCCAAACUGGCAUUUGAUUUUAAAGGUAAAACCAAGGUAUUUUUGGAUAUUGAAGAAUUCAAGAAGUUUAUCUCAGAUAUUCCCUAUUUGAAAGAACUGUUUAACAAUAUGCCUUAGCAAUCUGGAGUGCUUUCUGUCUACCAAAACACAUCCAAAAGGUAGAGUCAGACAGUGCACCAUGGCGUCUCUGUCCUGAAAAGCUGACUUUUUGCCCCCAGGGAAAGGGGCUGGGGGAGCAAUGUCACUCCCUGCAGGUUGGUUGACUUAGACAGCGCGUGUAGCUUUUCAAUAGGUAUCUACCUUGGUAAAGAGGCAACUUGUCAGUGUAACCACACACAGGGAAUACUACUAGAGGCCACAGUGGGAUGGGAAAGGACACAGUAAGUUAGAAGAGACUGGCUACCCAGGCUGACUGAACCAACAGAUUACAUUACUUUAUUUUUCUGCCAUUGUAUAUUAAAGCUUGAAGUUUGAA
rnacentral:lncRNA from 1 species